UAUCACAAUGACAAACUUGUCCAAAAUGAUUCCCGAGAGGAGCUGAACUUCUUGGCAGUGUCAAAGUCUGAUGAAGGUUUCUACAAGUGUCAGUACUCAGGAAAAGAGUCACCAUCGCGUUACAUGACGGUUAAAUCUACUGUACCACCUGAAAUCUUCAGCCAGAGUGAAAGUAGUGAAAACAGCCCCCUUCAUCCUGGUAGUGCCGCUGUCUAUGAAUCAGCAAACAAAAAUGGAAGACACUGGAAAUGGUCAGUGAGGAGAGCCGUAGCUGCGAAGCAAAAAAGAAUCCUUUUGUGAACCCACUGUUGCUCCUCUGCUACACAAAUAUCAGUGACGCUUCAGAUUUUCCAGUUAGUUUGUUUGAAGAUAACACAUUAAAUACCUCAUACUCUAUACACUAUUAUCUACAAAUAUGGCACAAAAAAGGAAUUCCAGCUCUAGACUUGCAGAUCAUGUCUUUAUUGGGUCCGUCGGUCAAAGACUAAUUCUGUACAUCUAUACACAACCAAGCCCAACCGUGACCCAACUUGAAGGUCAAUAUGAUGUUCAACAUUUGGAUUUUAACUGAGUAAUCUUUUGGAUGUUAUGGAUGUCUAUUACAGGUGCAGGGAAUUUACAUGAUUAAUAAAUGUAUUUUUAUUAAUUUACAAAUAUAAACAUUAAUGUGGUGUUAUCAACAUGAUGCAUAUGAAUGUGGGUUAUGUAUAAACAAACAUGAUUAAUUACGUGUUAGCCUAUAUAUUUAAUAAGUACAUGUGGGUAAUUGUUUUGGUUAUUUAACAUUUUCUUGUUUUUCUUUGACUGGUUUGUUUAUGUUAAUUAAUCAAGUUAUUUGUUUGUAACCAGGUUGAAAUUGUCAUUUAUUAAAAUGUGUUGAAAAGACGUCCACAACCACUACAUUUGAACAAUAAUAGCUCGUAAACAUAAAGAUCCUAGCAAUAACAACACUAGAUGUUCAGCAGAUGUCGAAAAAAAGACAUUGCCUGGUGUUACAAAACAACCCUUCCAUGGGCCAAAAUUGGACCUCCAAAAAUGACUUAUGAAAGAUGUCAUUCACACAUCACUCAGUGUGAUGUCCCAUGAAGUAAGAAAAAACUGAAAUAGAUGAUCUUAAGUGACUUCAGCUUUUUAACUCCACAUAAUCUCUGAAUAGAUUGUGAAAAAUUCUAUUACACAAUCUGAAUGAAAAAUCACCUGUAGAUGUUAUAACAAUCUUGGGAACUAUAGGCCGAUCUCUAAGCUUCUAUUCCUGUCCAAAAUACUGGAGAGGAUCGUUCUUUCACAACUCCGGCCGUAUUUGGAUGUGAAUGCCAUUUAUGAUAAAUUUCAGUCUGCUUACAAACCCUGUUAUGGUACUAAAACGGCCUUGCUCAGAGUCCUCAAUGAUCUCCUUCUGAAUACUGACUCUGGACACUCUUCAUUCUUGGUCCUACUAGAUCUAUCCUCGGCCUUUGAUAUGGUAGAUCAUAACAUCCUAUUAGUGAGGCUUGAACACACAGUUGGCAUUGGAGGUGCCACCCUAGAUUAGUUUAAGUCAUACCUUUCUAAUAGGUCCUUCUCGAUCAAUUUUGGCCCUUAUUUCUCCUCUGCUGCACCUAACCCUAACCCUGCAGCGUGCCUCAAGGAUCUGUCCUUGGCCCCCUGCUCUUCUCACUGUAUAUGCUCCCCUUAGGCGCAAUCUUUGAGAAGUAUAACAUUGCACAUCAUUGUUAUGCCGACGACACACAGAUGUAUUUCAAAUUAAGUGAUUAAGGUUUGAGAAAAGGGCAAAGCAUACAACCCAUACCAGUAUGUGUGUGUGUGUGUGUGUAUAGCAAUCUUUUUUUUUAAUUUUCUUUUUUUCCAUCGUUUAAUGAUUUUGAUUGUCUGCUAAUGUGAUAAUGUCUUGAUUUAACAAUUGUUAUAGAGCUUGCAGCACUUUUCU